rnacentral:tRNA from 1 species
ACCCAAGUAGCUCAGUUGGUUAGAGCGAGGUCUAUUCAGCCAAAAUAAAAUCCAUGAACUUUAAAAGAUGGUUUAGAGGCGCAGGUUCGAGUCCUGCCUUGGGUG